ensembl:lncRNA
CUUUUCUCCACUCCAGCGGUCAGUUCACUGGGACCUUUUCCUAAGGAUGUAGGCCAAGACUGUGCCUGAUGUUGCCCGAAGGAUGCCGAAGAAAAAGACUUCAGGACUGGAAGCGCUCUUACCCCAAGAUCGAAGGAAAGGGCCUUGAGACAUGGAAUUAACUCUCCUCACCCUGGUGAGUUUUCCUGAAACUGCUUAUCCUCAGCAUCGGUGUUCUGAGAGGUGGAGCCUCGCAGUCAGACGGCUGCAGGCAGAAGGUGGGCGAGCCCUGGGACCUUAAGCUUUGUGGAAGGUUGAAAGGAGGAGCAGAGGGAGAGCUUUGAGGUUUGUUUAUUUUGUCUAUUUUUAUUUUUCUGUCCCGUGCCAAGCCCUUGAAGUUAACACAGAGAUAUGGCCCUUUAGGACCAAGCACUCAGCAUUCUUUCGAGACUGAGAUUCCAGAGCAUCAGAUGAACCGGACUUAGAGCUAAGGCGUCACCGCACCCCCCCCCUGCCCCCGCCCCUCGACUUCCUACGCACGCACCAGCUCGUCCUCACGUGCGUCGGGGUAGUGGACAGUGUUGACUUGAAUUGCUCUGGCUCGCUCCAAGCCUUUCCUGUGAAUGAACCCGAAAACACUCGACAGGUCGUGAAUAAUCGUUUUAAUGAGUGUGCAAAGCGUGCGACGGGGUGCACCGAGCUGUCGGGUUAAACAAACAACUUGUACCCUGACCAAAUCCGAUUGUUAAAGUGCAAAGUGAUGUCAGUACCAUUUCCAUUGCCCUUCAGAAAACCACAGAUCUGACACGCGGGAGUCCAAUUUUCCCCAUUAAAGAAAAAUAACAAUAUUUUCCAACCGUGUAUGUG